AUCUUGACCUCAGAUCAGGCAAGGCUACCCGCUGAAUUUAAGCAUAUUAAUAAGCGGAGGAAAAGAAACUAACAAGGAUUCCCUCAGUAACAGCGAGUGAAGCGGGAACAGCUCAAAUUUGAAAUCUCCGACGCUUGCGUCGGCGAGUUGUAGUUGCGA
rnacentral:rRNA from 1 species